GCCUUGCCAUAAACCAACCCACACAUUUUUAAACGCCCGGAUAUUACGAGCUAAAGCUUAAAACCCAAAGGACUUGACGGUGUCCCAUCCACCUAGAGGAGCCUGUUCUGUAAUCGAUAACCCCCGSUACACCCAACCACCCCUUGCCUYUUCCAGCCUGUAUACCGCCGUCGCAAACCCACCGUAUGAAUGCCCCAGUCGGUUCAAGGGACCCUACCAGCACGUCAGGUCAAGGUGCAGCCUAUGGGGUGGAARAAAUGGGCUACAAUCUCUAAAAUAGAACAAACAGAAAAUUAUGUGAAACCAUAAAAUGAAGGAGGAUUUAGCAGUAAAAAGAAAAUAGCGAGUUYUUUUUAACUAGGCCCUGGGACGUGUACACACCGCCCGUCACCCUYUUCAAUAGCCCCAACUAAAGUUUAUAACACAUUACUUGCACCUUAGAAGAGGUAAGUCGUAACACGGUAAGUGUACUGGAAAGUGCGCUUGGCACAA
rnacentral:rRNA from 1 species